AUGGUGAAUGUUCCUAAAACUCACAAGACUUAAAGAAGUGUGGCUAGCACCAACCCCACAAAACGACACAGUACAAGAAGGGCAAAGAUUCUCUGUAUGCCCAGGGAAAGCAGCAUUAUGACAGGCAGCGCAGUGAAUAUGGUGGGCAGACUAAGCCAAUUUUUCGGAAAAAAGCUAAAACUACAAAGAAUAUUGUGCUAAGGCUUGAGUGCACUGAUCCCAACUGCAAAUCUAAGAGAAUGCUGCCAUUAAAAGAUGCAAGCAUUUUGAACUGGGAAGAGAUAAGAAGAGAAAGGUCCAAGUGAUCCAUUUCUAA
rnacentral:lncRNA from 1 species